CCUACGGGUGGCAGCAGUGAGGAAUAUUGGGCAAUGGACGCAAGUCUGAACCAGCCAUGCCGCGUGCAGGAAGACGGCUCUAUGAGUUGUAAACUGCUUUUGUACGAGGGUAAACGCAGAUACGCGUAUCUGUCUGAAAGUAUCGUACGAAUAAGGAUCGGCUAACUCCGUGCCAGCAGCCGGGGUAAUACGGAGGAUUCAAGUGUUUUCCGGAUUUAUUGGGUUUAAAGGGUGCGUAGGCGGUCGGAUAAGUUAGAGGUGAAAGCCCGAGGAUCAACUUCGGAAUUGCCUCUGAUACUGUUCGGCUAGAGAGUAGUAGCGGUAGGCGGAAUGUAUGGUGUAGCGGUGAAAUGCUUAGAGAUCAUACAGAACACCGAUUGCGAAGGCAGCUUACCAAGCUACUUCUGACGUUGAGGCACGAAAGCGUGGGGAGCAAACAGGAUUAGAUGCCCCAGUAGUC
rnacentral:rRNA from 1 species